rnacentral:rRNA from 1 species
AACGAACGCUGGCGGCAGGCUUAACACAUGCAAGUCGAGCGCCCCGCAAGGGGAGCGGCAGACGGGUGAGUAACGCGUGGGAAUCUACCCAUCUCUACGGAAUAACGCAUGGAAACGUGUGCUAAUACCGUAUACGUCCUUCGGGAGAAAGAUUUAUCGGAGAUGGAUGAGCUCGCGUUGGAUUAGCUAGUUGGUGGGGUAAAGGCCUACCUAGGCGACGAUCCGUAGCUGGUCUGAGAGGAUGAUCAGCCACACUGGGACUGAGACACGGCCCAGACUCUUGCGGGGGGCAGCAGUGGGGAAUAUUGGACAAUGGGCGCAAGCCUGAUCCAGCCAUGCCGCGUGAGUGAUGAAGGCCCUAGGGUUGUAAAGCUCUUUCACCGGUGAAGAUAAUGACGGUAACCGGAGAAGAAGCCCCGGCUAACUUCGUGCCAGCCGCCGCGGUAACAC